AAUCAACGCUGGCGGCGUGCCUAACACAUGCAAGUCGAACGCGAAAGCCCCGCAAGGGGUGAGUAGAGUGGCAAACGGGUGAGUAACACGUGGGUGAUCUGCCUCAGAGUGGGGGAGUAACGACCCGAAAGGGUCGCUAAUACCGCAUAACAUCCUGCCUUUGGAUAGGCGGUGAUCAAAGUUGGGGAUUCGCAAGAAACCUGACGCUUGGAGAGGAGCCCGCGGCCGAUUAGCAGUUGGUGAGGUAACGGCUCACCAAGGCAACGAUCGGUAUCCGGCCUGAGAGGGCGGACGGACACACUGGGACGU
rnacentral:rRNA from 1 species